rnacentral:rRNA from 1 species
GGAAUAUUGGGCAAUGGAGGAAACUCUGACCCAGCAACGCCGCGUGAAUGAUGAAGGUCUUCGGAUUGUAAAGUUCUUUUCUAAGGGAAGAAGAAAGUGACGGUAGCAAAUGAAUAAGCUCCGGCUAACUACGUGCCAGCAGCCGCGGUAAUACGUAGGGAGCGAGCGUUAUCCGGAAUUAUUGGGCGUAAAGGGUGCGUAGAUGGCACAAAAAGUCUUGUGUAAAAAUGCUAGGCUCAACCUAGUAGAGCAAAAGAUACUUUUGAGCUAGAGUAUGGCAGAGGCAAGUGGAACUACAUGUGUAGCGGUAAAAUGCGUAAAUAUAUGUAAGAACACCAGUGGCGAAGGCGGCUUGCUGGGCCGAUACUGACAUUGAGGCACGAAAGCGUGGGGAGCAAACAG